rnacentral:tRNA from 1 species
GCGACGGUAGUAUAAUGAUUAAGCACAACAGACUGGAUAUCUGUAGAUUCGAGUUCAAGUUCCGCCUGAUGUU